rnacentral:rRNA from 1 species
UUCGGUCUGGUGGCGAGUGGCGAACGGGUGAGUAAUAUAUCGGAACGUGCCCAGUCGUGGGGGAUAACGUAGUGAAAAUUACGCUAAUACCGCAUACGAUCUAAGGAUGAAAGCGGGGGAUCGCAAGACCUCGCGCGAUUGGAGCGGCCGAUAUCAGAUUAGGUAGUUGGUGAGGUAAAGGCUCACCAAGCCAACGAUCUGUAGCUGGUCUGAGAGGACGACCAGCCACACUGGAACUGAGACACGGUCCAGACUCCUACGGGAGGCAGCAGUGGGGAAUUUUGGACAAUGGACGCAAGUCUGAUCCAGCCAUUCCGCGUGCAGGACGAAGGCCUUCGGGUUGUAAACUGCUUUUGUACAGAACGAAAAGGUCUCUAUUAAUACUAGGGGCUCAUGACGGUACUGUAAGAAUAAGCACCGGCUAACUACGUGCCAGCAGCCGCGGUAAUACGUAGGGUGCAAGCGUUAAUCGGAAUUACUGGGCGUAAAGCGUGCGCAGGCGGUUAUAUAAGACAGAUGUGAAAUCCCCGGGCUCAACCUGGGAACUGCAUUUGUGACUGUAUAGCUGGAGUGCGGCAGAGGGGGAUGGAAUUCCGCGUGUAGCAGUGAAAUGCGUAGAUAUGCGGAGGAACACCGAUGGCGAAGGCAAUCCCCUGGGCCUGCACUGACGCUCAUGCACGAAAGCGUGGGGAGCAAACAG